rnacentral:rRNA from 1 species
UACGAAGGGGGCUAGCGUUGCUCGGAAUCACUGGGCGUAAAGCGCACGUAGGCGGAUUGUUAAGUCAGGGGUGAAAUCCUGGAGCUCAACUCCAGAACUGCCUUUGAUACUGGCGAUCUCGAGUCCGGGAGGGGCGAGUGGAAUUCCUGGUGUAGCGGUGAAAUGCGCAGAUAUCAGGAGGAACACCGGUGGCGAAGGCAGUUCUCUGGGCCGUAACUGACGCUGAGGAGCGAAAGCGUGGGGGAGCGAACAGG